rnacentral:rRNA from 1 species
AGUAACGCGUGGGUAACCUGCCUUAUACAGGGGGAUAACAGUCAGAAAUGGCUGCUAAUACCGCAUAAGCGCACAGAGCUGCAUGGCUCAGUGUGAAAAACUCCGGUGGUAUAAGAUGGACCCGCGUUGGAUUAGCUUGUUGGUGAGGUAACGGCCCACCAAGGCGACGAUCCAUAGCCGGCCUGAGAGGGUGAACGGCCACAUUGGGACUGAGACACGGCCCAG